rnacentral:rRNA from 1 species
AGUCACUGACAUUAGAUACCCGGGUAGUCCCAGCCGUAAACAAUGUGCGUUAGGUGUGUCGGUAACCACGUGUUACUGAUGCGCCGAAGAGAAAUCGUGAAACGCACCACCUGGGAAGUACGGUCGCAAGGCUGAAACUUAAAGGAAUUGGCGGGGAGCACCACAACAGGUGGAGUCUGCGGUUUAAUUGGAUUCAACGCCGGACAUCUCACCGGAUAAGACAGCUGAAUGAUUGUCAAUCUGAAGGUUUUACAUGACUAGCUG